GUAAAAGUGGUCGCAACGACACCC
rnacentral:siRNA from 1 species